CCCGACUUAGCUCAACAGCAGAGCGAUCGGCUGUAGCUUUUUGCUUUUGCAUCAAGUACUUAGUAAUCGCUCAAACAGAAACCGAUAGGUUGAGGGUGCGAAUCCCUCAGUCGGGA
rnacentral:tRNA from 1 species